rnacentral:rRNA from 1 species
UUAAGCGACUAAGCGUACACGGUGGAUGCCCUGGCAGUCAGAGGCGAUGAAGGACGUGCUAAUCUGCGAAAAGCGUCGGUAAGGUGAUAUGAACCGUUAUAACCGGCGAUGUCCGAAUGGGGAAACCCAGUGCAAUUCGUUGCACUAUCGUUAACUGAAUACAUAGGUUAACGAGGCGAACCGGGGGAACUGAAACAUCUAAGUACCCCGAGGAAAAGAAAUCAACCGAGAUUCCCCCAGUAGCGGCGAGCGAACGGGGAGCAGCCCAGAGUCUGAAUCAGCUUGUGUGUUAGUGGAACGGUCUGGAAAGUCCGACGGUACAGGGUGAUAGUCCCGUACACCAAAAUGCACAGGCUGUGAACUCGAAGAGUAGGGCGGGACACGUGGUAUCCUGUCUGAAUAUGGGGGGACCAUCCUCCAAGGCUAAAUACUCCUGACUGACCGAUAGUGAACCAGUACCGUGAGGGAAAGGCGAAAAGAACCCCGGCGAGGGGAGUGAAAAAGAACCUGAAACCGUGUACGUACAAGCAGUGGGAGCACCUUCGGGUGUGACUGCGUACCUUUUGUAUAAUGGGUCAGCGACUUAUAUUCUGUAGCAAGGUUAACCGUAUAGGGGAGCCGCAGGGAAACCGAGUCUUAACUGGGCGUUAAGUUGCAGGGUAUAGACCCGAAACCCGGUGAUCUAGCCAUGGGCAGGUUGAAGGUUGGGUAACACUAACUGGAGGACCGAACCGACUAAUGUUGAAAAAUUAGCGGAUGACUUGUGGCUGGGGGUGAAAGGCCAAUCAAACCGGGAGAUAGCUGGUUCUCCCCGAAAGCUAUUUAGGUAGCGCCUCGUGAAUUCAUCUUCGGGGGUAGAGCACUGUUUCGGCUAGGGGGUCAUCCCGACUUACCAACCCGAUGCAAACUACGAAUACCGAAGAAUGUUAUCACGGGAGACACACGGCGGGUGCUAACGUCCGUCGUGAAGAGGGAAACAACCCAGACCGCCAGCUAAGGUCCCAAAGUCAUGGUUAAGUGGGAAACGAUGUGGGAAGGCACAGACAGCCAGGAUGUUGGCUUAGAAGCAGCCAUCAUUUAAAGAAAGCGUAAUAGCUCACUGGUCGAGUCGGCCUGCGCGGAAGAUGUAACGGGGCUAAACCAUGCACCGAAGCUGCGGCAGCGACACUAUGUGUUGUUGGGUAGGGGAGCGUUCUGUAAGCCUGCGAAGGUGUGCUGUGAGGCAUGCUGGAGGUAUCAGAAGUGCGAAUGCUGACAUAAGUAACGAUAAAGCGGGUGAAAAGCCCGCUCGCCGGAAGACCAAGGGUUCCUGUCCAACGUUAAUCGGGGCAGGGUGAGUCGACCCCUAAGGCGAGGCCGAAAGGCGUAGUCGAUGGGAAACAGGUUAAUAUUCCUGUACUUGGUGUUACUGCGAAGGGGGGACGGAGAAGGCUAUGUUAGCCGGGCGACGGUUGUCCCGGUUUAAGCAUGUAGGCUGGUUGUCCAGGCAAAUCCGGAUAAUCAAGGCUGAGGUGUGAUGACGAGGCACUACGGUGCUGAAGUAACAAAUGCCCUGCUUCCAGGAAAAGCCUCUAAGCAUCAGGUAACAUUAAAUCGUACCCCAAACCGACACAGGUGGUCAGGUAGAGAAUACCAAGGCGCUUGAGAGAACUCGGGUGAAGGAACUAGGCAAAAUGGUGCCGUAACUUCGGGAGAAGGCACGCUGGUGUGUAGGUGAAGUCCCUGCGGAUGGAGCUGAGACCAGUCGAAGAUACCAGCUGGCUGCAACUGUUUAUUAAAAACACAGCACUGUGCAAACACGAAAGUGGACGUAUACGGUGUGACGCCUGCCCGGUGCCGGAAGGUUAAUUGAUGGGGUUAUCCGUAAGGAGAAGCUCUUGAUCGAAGCCCCGGUAAACGGCGGCCGUAACUAUAACGGUCCUAAGGUAGCGAAAUUCCUUGUCGGGUAAGUUCCGACCUGCACGAAUGGCGUAAUGAUGGCCAGGCUGUCUCCACCCGAGACUCAGUGAAAUUGAACUCGCUGUGAAGAUGCAGUGUACCCGCGGCAAGACGGAAAGACCCCGUGAACCUUUACUAUAGCUUGACACUGAACAUUGAGCCUUGAUGUGUAGGAUAGGUGGGAGGCUUUGAAGCGUGGACGCCAGUCUGCGUGGAGCCAACCUUGAAAUACCACCCUUUAAUGUUUGAUGUUCUAACGUUGGCCCCUUACCGGGGUUGCGGACAGUGUCUGGUGGGUAGUUUGACUGGGGCGGUCUCCUCCCAAAGCGUAACGGAGGAGCACGAAGGUUAGCUAAUCCUGGUCGGACAUCAGGAGGUUAGUGCAAUGGCAUAAGCUAGCUUGACUGCGAGCGUGACGGCGCGAGCAGGUGCGAAAGCAGGUCAUAGUGAUCCGGUGGUUCUGAAUGGAAGGGCCAUCGCUCAACGGAUAAAAGGUACUCCGGGGAUAACAGGCUGAUACCGCCCAAGAGUUCAUAUCGACGGCGGUGUUUGGCACCUCGAUGUCGGCUCAUC